rnacentral:sRNA from 2 species
CCUUUCUUCUGUUAAAUGUUGAAGUCGAUGUCAUUAUGCAUCAUCAUCAUGUCUGGCUCAGUAUUUGAGUGUUUCUCUUCUUGAAAAAGUAUGAAAGUCAAUGAAUGAUAUUGUUAAACUAGUUUGCAGGCUUGUGCGCACAUGAAAAAAUUAUAUAUGGAACAUUCUUUCUUAAAACACCAGGGAGAUAUUUAAAAGACAAAACACAAGAUCAACAAAUAAGAUUGCAAGUCAUCAGUGCAAUUAAAUGUGAUAGCAAGUCUCACUUCUGUUCAUACUGAGUUUCUGUCUGGGUUGUCCAUCUCAUUACAUUACUAGCACUAAGUGAGGUUUUAGAAGAG